rnacentral:rRNA from 1 species
UACGUAGGGGGCGAGCGUUGUCCGGAAUGAUUGGGCGUAAAGGGCGCGUAGGCGGCCUGUCAAGUCAGUAGUGGAAGUCCAUCUUUCAAGGAUGGAAGUGCUACAGAAACUGAUGGGCUUGAGUGCAGGAGAGGUUAUCGGAAUUCCCGGUGUAGCGGUGAAAUGCGUAGAGAUUGGGAGGAACACCAGUGGCGAAGGCGACUUACUGGGCCGUAACUGACGCUGAGGCGCGAAAGCGUGGGGAGCGAACAGGAUUAGAUACCCGGGUAGU